rnacentral:lncRNA from 1 species
UAAAUAGUCACAUGAAAUAGCCAUUGGAUUGAUCCAUAUGGAAUCUUUUUGGUAACUGCUUUGUACUGGAUCUCUGCAGAUGUACCCUGCUCAAACCGAAUGUACCAUUUCUUAAGAAUUGAGGAAAAAGUCCUAAGAACCUCCCUUGACAGAGAUUUUCAAGGAAGAGUAUUAGCAUCGGGAUAAAACAAGGUUUCUCACAUCUCCUUCCUUCCUAAGCAAUCACUGCGAUCUUUAAACAAAAGAUCACAGUAAAAUGCGGUAUUUUGUGGCGCUGUUCGCCACAGCCACAAGAGGGGGUUUGAAGAACGCAAUCUGCUUCCCACUUCCAGCCUGAGCCUUCCCCUGUGCACACGGUAUGUUAGAAGUAUCAUGAAACCAGUGAUUUCCCGAAAUGACUGAAAUUUUCAGUCAUUUUUCAAAUGACUCCUUCAGUCACUCAUUUGGUAAAAUGACUAAAAGUUUCGUGUGCUCUACAAAGUGACUGACGUGCUGCAAAUUCCGCCAGACUGUUUGGCUGCUUCACCCAGUAUCAGGCAUAUUGGGAAAAGGGAUGUUAUUGGAUAAAGAUCCUUUGCUUUUUUCUGCACUGGCUGCUGGGCAUGACUCUGGAUUUUGAAGGUGUGAAAUUCUAUGGCUGGUGGCAAGAAGCAGCUAAUCAAAACCACUGGACUAAAGAAGCAUUUCCUACAUACUGUGUGAACGUUGAAGAGAGAAAGGAGAAAAAAAGCAACAGACAUGGAGUAAACAGGUGAAAGAACAUGGUUUGACCUUAAGGGUAGAGCAUGAGUGACAUGAAAGGAGGAAGGAAUGACUCACACGGGCAUGAAGAUGGAUGAGUUUGCUACUGGUUUAAUAUUACCUGUGCAGCCCUAACGCAGGCAUAGGACAGACCUCCAUGUAUCAUAUCAACUUCACAGACUGCUGGAAAAACUGAUGCUGACUUUCAGAAAGGUUCUGGAUUC